CCAGUCUCAGGUAUGUCUUUAUCAGCAGCGUGAAAACAUACUAAUAUAGCAGGAAAGCCAGCCCAGGUGGAGAUCCAGCCCAAACCUGAAGGCCAGAGACCCAGGGGAGCCAAUGGCGACAAUCUCCAUCUGAGCCAGAAGGCCUAACAAUAGGGAGCACCAGUGUCUGAGGACAGGAGGAGAUGGAUGUCCUGGCUCCAGCGGAGGGAUCUUGACACACAGGAUUAUGAGUAGACAUGAAAAUAUCGACCCAGCUGUAGACAGCAACUGUCAGCAGCUGAGAAAUAACCUGGCAGAAGAAGUUUCAUCAGUGAGUGGGGGGAGUGACACAGUCAAAGUCUCAGUUUCGAUUCUGCGAUAAUGAAAACUGACCUGUGUACUUUCGGGUUCCCUAAAAUAUAAGUGGAAAAUCAACAUUUGCAUCUUCCCCACCCACACCCCACUCCCAACUCCCCCAGUCCAAUAUGCAUGCUCUUGGACUCCCACAGCAGGGGAGCCCAGGACAGCACUUGAGAGCUGCUAGCCAACUGGUUAAGAGCAAGAGUUCUGAAGCAAAAAGAUCUGACUGGGUUUAAAUCCUGGCUCAACUACCUGUUAGCUCUGGCAAAGUUA
rnacentral:lncRNA from 1 species